rnacentral:sRNA from 1 species
AAUAAAGAAGGCAAUCAGGAAGAGGCCGAUUCACACUAUUCUCUUUAUUUCCAAAGUUAAUAAGGAAAAUAUUAAAGACAGAACCAUGAAAAGCAAGUAAUGACACAGUUUACGAGUUAAAAAUAUCCUUAAAUGGUCACUUUAAAAAUAUUUACUGCUAUUUUGCUUGAGAUGGGUUUUUGUUCUACAGACCAUUCUGGUCUUGAACUUGUAAAAAUCCUACUUUCCUCGGUCUGUUAAACUCUGGAAUUAUAGGUAUGAGUCACCAUACCUGAUAAGAAUUGACCUAAUUUAGUAGUAAACAAACUUACAAUUGAUAUGAUGGAGUUAAUUUACUUACCAUAAAAAAGGACUUAUAAAUCUAUGCGAAAACCAGAUAUGCUGUACAUUAUACAGAAAUCAACAAUACUAUAUUCUAUUACUUAAAACUAAAUUAAGAAAGAGGGAAGAUCUCAGGUCAAAUGUUCUUACCAUAGUAUAUUAUUAGGGAAAAAAGAAGACAAUUGACCUUAUAUUAAAAUGAGUAGAGCACAUGAACAAAGACAAAGAAGAUGUUGGUGUCUUGGAAGGAAGGAGUGCGAGUACCAGGAAGUAACCACAGCGCUUCACUCUAGGCACGGCCACACUAACUUCACGGAUACUACAUAUGGCAGACACUCGUUACACACAGUUUAAACACGAGACACAGGAGUGGAAAAGGCACACAACUUAUCCAGCAUCAUAAAAGAAGUCCCUGUAGAAAUCUGAACCCAGGAAGCCCACUCUCAGCCUCUCGAGUUAUAGUGAAGUAAGUGUUCUUUCAUUCAACUACCUGAUAGUCUACUGGCAGCCUGAGAUAGUAAAUACUCAUCUUACUGAGUUUAAACUGAUACUGCUGAGUAUAAUUCAGCAAAACACAUGUUAAACUAUACAUAUGAUUUAAGCCAAGAAGAAACAAAUCACUGAAAAUAAUUACAGGCCCUGGGUAAGCGCUCUACCACUGAGCUAAAUCCCCAGCCCCACAGCUCAACUUUCUAAUAGAUUAUCAAUUUAUAUGACAUUUCAAUCAUUCAGCCAUAAAACAGAAAAAUACAAAGAGUCUACUACUGUAUACAAUGCAUUCUAAAACCACAGAGAACUUUUUAAUGCUAACAGCUUAUUCCAGAACUAGAAGUGUGGUUUGGUAGUUGCCUAUUAUGUGUGAGGCUCUGGUUUAAUCCCCAACACUCUAUCAAACACAACCAGCUAUCAUCCAAAUAUACCUAAGAGCUACUGCAGAAACAGUAUUUCCACCAUCUGAGUCUCCGGUCACAGGAGAGCACAAGUCAGCACAUUCCUUCUGAGUGGUCACUGACCGCUUUGCUUACAGGUGAACACAGCCAAUGUACACCUAGUGAGUGGUCAUUCACUGCUUUUACCAUAGCUGCAAAUUCCUAUUUUUGUCCAAACUUUUUAUGUGGCAAAUCUUAUGUUCAUAAAACCUCAAAAGUAUUAGCCUCUGUUACUUGACCAAAACCUUUCAUCUCAUUCAAUUUAGAACUGAAGUCAUUUGGGGAUUUUACAAGAGCUAUUGCCCUUUCUUCUGAUAAAAUAAUACAGAGUGUCAAGCACAUA